AACGCUGGAGGCGCGCUUAACACAUGCAAGUCGAGCGAGAAAGGGAGCAAUCCUGAGUAAAGCGGCGUACGGGUGAGUAACACGUGGGUCAUGUACCCUUUGGUGGGGAAUAACGNUGGGAAACCGACGCUAAUACCGCAUAAUCCCGAGAGGGAAAAGCCGCAAGGCGCCGAAGGAACAGCCCGCGGCCGAUUAGCUAGUUGGUGAGGUAAUGGCUCACCAAGGCUUCGAUCGGUAGCCGGCCUGAGAGGGCACACGGCCACACUGGCACUGAAACACGGGCCAGACUCCUACGGGAGGCAGCAGUGGGGAAUCUUGCACAAUGGACGAAAGUCUGAUGCAGCGACGCCUCGUGAGUGAUGAAGGUCUUCGGAUCGUAAAGCUCUUUCGACUGGGAAGAUAAUGACGGUACCAGGAGAAGAA
rnacentral:rRNA from 1 species